CUUAACUCUUGCUGGCAACACUGACCAUCACUGGUUCUAUAUGCGAGUUUAAUCAAGCCACAUACAAAAGAAGCCAUAUUGUGGGUCAAUCUGAAAGUGGACUAAGUCAGUAUAAAAUUGCAGAAAACCUUGGGAUCCCACUUUCUACAGUUAAUAGGGUGACGAGACCCUUUGCUUUGACAAGACCUUUUGCUUAGUUAAGUGAAGUGUGGAGGAUAAGCCUCAUUACAAGGCCUCUGAUAUAGCAGAACAAGUAGAUGUCAGUUCCAGAACAGCUGUCGGGUAUCUCCACAAACUUGGCUGCUAUGGCAGAGCAGCAAGAAGGAAGCCACUUCUUCAACUAGCCAACUAUUCCUCAUCUGCUCAGUAGCAUGCCUUAUAGGACCCUUGCAUUGAAAAAUGCAAAGGGCAUGACUACUAGAUAUUAGAUAUUCACCUUAUAAUAAUUAAUAAAUAUUUUGAAAGUAUAA